GCUAGUUUCAGGCUGUUAUUGAUAGCCAUCGGUGGCAAGCAAAGAGGUGCACAAGUUGGUGCUGGACAGCAGACCUCCCUCUCAUGGGAAAAGGAUAUAGGAUCAAACUUCUACAGAGGAAACUCAUUCAGAGGGAAUAAAUUUCUCUCCUCUCACAUGAUUCUCCAAAAUGGCUGAGGGCGGCGAAGAUUAUACCUCAAGAAAAACAAUGGCAAUGGGUAUAGGUAAUGUAUGUGAAGGUGAACUUGCAGAUGAUGAGACUAGUCUGACUGACGUGAAUCGGCUGGAGUUGUCUGGUCUUGAUCAGCCAGGGCUUUCAGGUCUUGAUCAGCCAGGGCUUUCAGGUCUUGAUCAGCCAGGGCUUUCAGGUCUUGAUCAGCCAGGGCUUUCGGGUCUUGAUCAGCCAGGGCUUUCGGGUCUUGAUCAGCCAGGACCUUCGGGUCUUGAUCAGCCAGGACCUUCGGGUCUUGAUCAGCCAGGACCUUCGGGUCUUGAUCAGCCAGGACCUUCGGGUCUUGAUCAG